rnacentral:rRNA from 1 species
CGGACGGCAGUCUGACGGAGCCCGCCGCGUGAGUGAUGAAGGUUUUCGGAUUGUAAAGCUCUUUUGUUGGGGAAGAUCAUGUGCCUUUCCGAUAGGGAGGCCCCUUGACGGUUCCUGCCCGCAACCCCACGGCUACCUACGUGCCUACCGCCGCGGUAAUACAUAGGUGGCAAGCGUUGUCCGGAAUUAUUGGGCGUUCAGGGCUGAAAUGCCGUUUCUUAACUCUGAUGUGAAAGCCCCCGGCUCAAGUCUUGAGGGUCAUUGAAAACUGGGGAACUUGAAUGCAAAAGAUGAAAUUGGAAUUCCACGUGUAGAACUCAAAUGCGUAAAGAUGUGGAGGAACACCAUUACUGACGGCGACUCUCUGGUCUGUAACUGACGCUGAGGAGCGAAACCGUGGGGAGCGAACAGGAUUAGAUACCCUGGUAGUCCACGCCGGAGACUAUUAGUGCUAAGUGUUAGGGGGUUUCCGCCCCUCCUGCUGCGGCGAAAGCAAUACGCACUCCGCCCGGGGGAGAAA